UCACAAGUUUUCAAACUUUUUAGACAAAUAGUAUCACCACAACAUAUCCUUUUGCAGUUCUCAAAGAUCUCCCACCUGAGUUUGUACGGCGUACAAGCUGAGGUGGGCGAACAGCAAAUGUAAUUUCUAUUUCCAUGGUAUAUCCAGUGGAAUCAAAGGUUUAUUGGUAAACUCGGAACUCGUACUGGUAGCAGUAGAGUUUGAAAAGAUUUGCAACGUUAAUCGCUCGGCGAACAACACCCCGCAUUUCGACGAUCUCUGUGUCGAUCGCUCUUUAGACUAUAGAGCGAUCGAUACAGAGGUCCUCGCCACGCCAUGUACUCCAUCCACUCCAGUGACUCCACGCCAAUUGUGGCGACAGAGCUGCCAUAUUGCUAGUUUCUUUUUCAGCCCGAAGUAUCAAGGAAUCUUUUGCCGAAGUGGGACUUCAAACCGUAGAAUUACAGUAAUAUCGUGGACCACGCCAUCCCACCAAGGACGCCCGAAGUAACCGCACUAGGGUUGCUCGUGGACAAGAUCCGUUGGAGGAUUCCAAGCACUAAUGGCAGAAGAGAGUCUUAUUUACGCUUUUUUGCAUCACUCACGAUUGCUUCUCCCAAGGGUACGUGGAGCCUGCAACUUUACUGGAGUCGUCAUAUUGCUGUUUGCAAGAUAACGUAAUUUGUUACUGGACCAGCGUGUUCGUUCGUCGGAUGCAACCGAAAAAGCAGAAUGCUUUUUCUUUGGAUGCAUGCGAUGAAGGUACAUGUAUCUUCGAAGAUACCAGAACUAAAACGGAUUUGACUGACGCCGUACUGACUGCGGUGACCCUGUUAAUCGGACCACCGUUAGGAAGGUCAUCGUAGUCAGUAAGAACUUGGUCGCCGGCACCUAC